rnacentral:rRNA from 1 species
UACAGAGGGUGCAAGCGCUGUUCGGAAUUAUUGGGCGUAAAGGGCGCGUAGGCGGUGCUGUAAGUCUGUGGUGAAAGCCCCGGGCUCAACCCGGGAAGUGCACUCGAUACUGCCAAGCUAGAGUAUCGGAGAGGUUGGUGGAAUUCUCGGUGUAGAGGUGAAAUUCGUAGAUAUCGAGAGGAACACCGGUGGCGAAGGCGGCCAACUGGACGAAUACUGACGCUGAGACUCGAAAGCGUGGGGAGCAAACAGG